GGCAAGCAAACAGGUUGUUACGUCACUCUGAGGGCAGAGAGGGGGCGAGCCACAGUGCGGAGGAAUUAUGCUCCUGCUGCAGGCCACUGUGGGAUUGGAGAAUCAGCUCUGUCCGUGGGACACACAGCCAAGUGGCCGUGAACACGGAAGGUUAUCUGGAUGGCUGUAGGUUGUGAAAGGAAGUAGCUUUCUAUGGCUCAUGGAGAUGAGUUUUUUUUUUUAAAUCAAAUUAUCAGACAGUCUUUGUGCAUAACUAUGAUGCUCCCUGUGUGACAAGAGCGCUUUCCUGGGAGGCGAAGGGCCAUCUGAAAUGGCUCACUUCUUUGGGGCCUCGGAGAGCAGGUGUGGUCGUAGAAGGCUGACUGCUUUGCUGGACUCCCCCAAACCCAAAGAAAUGGUGUGCUUAUCUUCCAGAACAUCUUUCUGGCAGGGCCUGCACAGCCAGGGUGUCCCAUGGCGACUCAAGGAUGUCUGUCCCUCUCCCUGCCCCAUCGAGGUCCCAGGGCUUGGUGUGUGGCUUCCUCGGUGCUGGCUCACUCAGAGGCGAUGGCACUGGUUCCGGAACACUUUUGGAAGGUCAACGGAGCAUUACUUGGGAGCCUUUCUCUGGCAGAUAAAAUAGCUCAGCCAUGUGGAGAGUACGCGAACAGGUUUUGGAGUUAGAGAAAUAAGGAAGGGUGCUGGGGGGCGGCGGGGUUCAGGGCUCCUGCUCCACAGCAGGCAGGAAGGUGCUGAAUGCAAAACACUUGUCCUUGCCAAGAGUGAGUAUAAAGCUUAGUAACACACAUGAGCAGGUUCACUUUUAGGCCCUAAACCAGAGCUCCAGCGAAAUACCCAAAGCUACACUGAGGUUGAAUUCAGGAAGGAGACUUUAUCUGUCAGUGAAGGCCUGUGCAUGUGCAUUUAGUCCCACUAAGACUUUUAAAGGAGAUGGUUCCUUUGGGCAUUAUAAAGCCACACUUUCUACCGUAGGAAAAAUCUUUAUAAUUGCUUUGCUCAAAUGAUCACAGGCACUUUAUUUGCAAAGCAAACCAACACCCACGGCAACAUAGUCCAGAAACCUCAGUACCAAGUCUGCUCUUGUAUUAACCUUGAAAUUACAAAUAUGGAAGGAAGUUAUAUACAGAAAACGGCCCCAGAGCAUGUCAGAUCCAGGCCAACUUCCAUGCUCACUUUGGAGAAUUAAAGUUGAAUUCAGUAUAAGAGGCUCAUGGGCUCUCCAAGCAACAAAUAGCCACUUACUAGCUGGGUAACCUCAGAACUUGGGCAUGGAAAUGGCACCUAAAUCAUAGCUCCAGGUACACUGUAUAUGCUCAAUAUAUGGUAACUAUUAUUAUUAAUAAAUACAUACAACAAAUGCCCAUUAAAGGCAAACUAUGGAUUGAAAAUACCCUGUAUGUUAUUCCGAGGGUUCACUUUACUCUUGGGGCAGGGAAGGUAAGGGUCAGCGUAACCUCCUGGUAAAAACGAAUUAAAAAAUCCAGAACCUCUCUGGAUAGGAGAAUGUAGGGGCCACCCCAGAAUCCCAGGGCUUCUUAACAUCAAGGCAAAUAUUACAGUGAGGUGAGGGUGGUGAUUUCCCUUCCCCAGAGAGCAGCCUCUCUCCCCACUCUGACUUGCCGCAGAUGGGCCUGGGUGCGACCUUCAUCCUGCCGCCCAGCAUGGUGCCCCGUCCUCCUCAUGUGUGUGGGUGGGAGGGCGUGGACGGUGCUGGACAAUUGUGCACCCAACAUAUCCUUGCCUCACCGGUAAUACCUUGGCAGGAAAAAUUAAGAUCAAGCUCUACUGACAAAAAAAUGUUAGAAAAGAUUAUUUUUUUACAUUGAAAGUACAAAAAUCAAAUCCUGGACGCAUAAAGCAAGAUGAAGAGUUGGGUUUUCUUUCCAAUUCCAUCUGGUUCACGGCUUCCUAUUCUGGAGGGGCUGGGACUUUGGGCCCAAUGCAGAGCUGACCCAGGCCAGAAUGAGAGCUUCUAGAACAAUACCCAGUGCAAUCUGAGAGGAUCCAGCCAAGCUCCCCUAGCGCAAGGUGACAUUUUUGAACCUGGACUGGGAAUCCAAGUUAUUCCCACAGGUUUAAAUUUUGUGGCUAUUAAAACUGUUGCUCUAAAGACAGAAGGUUCUCCACGCCGUGCCUGGCCACCUCGGGCUGCUUUCCGAGGGAGGCUUCCGGGCUCGCAGACGGCUCACUGCAUCACACGCCUGCUGUCUUAUCUUGAAUGUGGAGUUCCCCAGGGUGAGAUUAGGUUGUUCAAAUUAGAAACUGGGAUUAGCCAGAGAGAGGCUAUCUUCCAAGAAUGAUUUCCUUUUCUUUUUGCUGCCCAGACUUACUGAUUUCUGAAGCCCUAUCUGGGCAGCUGCAACGAUGCCCGGCUUCCUCCCUAAGCGGGAAGCACAUACGAUCAAUCAGGAGGGCUGCGCCUUUAUCUCAGAGUGCAGCUAGAUAGCUGGUAAAGGCCCCACUCUCCAAUUUUCUUCUGAGUAAACAGGCCGUGUGUAAAGCCGUUCAAUCUUUCAUGAGAAUUGCAGCCAGAAACGUGGUGGUUUGCGGGAGGCUCUCAAGGCUGCGUCUGCCUGGAAACAUUUUUGCAAUUAGCCCAGUCCAUUUUUAUCAGGGGUCAUCUUUCUGUCUAUAAAAGACUUAGGCUUUUAGUUUUGAAGGAGCAUAUGAUGGAGGCCUUUGUUAAUGGACAAAAUCUCCUCACUGAAUUUAACUUUAAGCUAAUGCAGCUUUGGGUACUUUGUUUAAAAAUUUUGGUUUGAGGCUAGAUUUCCUUCUACUUUAAAAUAUGCCCCGAGACUCUUGCUCAUAAACACUCCGAUUGACAACUGUUUUGCAUUCACGAUCUUAUUCCUCUCCUCUGGGGAAGGAGGAGGCGAUGCUUUUGAAUGAAAGCCCUCCUGUCUAAUGUUCUCCUGUAUAAAGGCCAUGGCCCUGGACUGUCUCCAGCUUAAUCUAGCAGUUGACCUCAACAAGGUCCCCAUGGCUCCAUUCCCUAAUUCAUUCCAUUUCGGGCUUUGUAUUAUCUGCCCGGGGGUCUGGCUGCCAGGGAACAAAUCACCUGAUAACUAUUACCGGUUCACAGCAACAUGCUUAGGCAUCUUCUGAACUCCUCUCGGGCCAAAGUUGUGAACCCAGUUGAUGCUCUACAAAUGCUUGCUGUUACUGGCCCUCGUGCUUACUUCAGGAUGCAGCAACUUGGACCACAGGUGGGAAAGGAUCGGGACUGCCAUGUUCCCUAAGCUCAGACACCCAAGGGGCCCCGGGGUGGGGUGCAGAAACUGACGCUGCAGAGUCCUCAGCAGCUCCUUUGUGGUAAGUGCAAUGACCCAGCUGUCAAUAAAGAUUGACAAAUAUCUUUCUCUUGCUACCUCAAGGAGAAGAGCAGACCUUCCAGACAUGGUCGCUAACAAUAAUGUGAAAGGAAAAUGUGGACUGUCAUGGGUUGAAAUAUUUCGAUCUAUAUCCGGAAAAAGGCACUUGGAACAGAGAUAUCAGGGCACUAGGUGGGACGUGCUGCUACCGACGACGACUUCACUGACUGUGAGCCCCAGGGGCUGUGUGCACCCCGUGACCGAGGGGCAGGUGAAAAGGAGGCGAGGGCGGAUGACCUGAUUUAAAAUUCAGCGAAACACACCGCAGUGAGGGUCUCAGCCCCGAAGGUAACGGGCGUCUGGCCCAUCACCAGGAAGUCUGCCAUUUUUAGUCAAGUGACAACUUGCUCCAGCAAAAGAAUGAUUCUUCCCGGUUUUAAGGAAUAUUAGUAAACUGGCUGGUUAGUGGCUUUUGCUCAAGUACUUGUCCCGGCGCGCACCGUCCCAGAGGCACACCCACGGGGCCAGGCUGAGGAAGGGUGUGUCAGUCCUCUCCGCCUGCAGAGGGGGAACCCCAGGCUGCGGGUCCUCCAGCCACUGGCCGAGGAGCCCGGCCCCAUCCUGACCCUACCAGGCCAGCAACCACCACACAGUGCCACCUGGUGACCCCCCGGGGAGGUGCCCAGACCCUCAGAUCCGGCCAAAGGCAAGAGUCCAGAAGAUCAACAGCGAAGCACCGUGUUUUACAAUCUCUCACCAGGUUGGGGUCCAUCCUGUCUUUUUGAGCAUGAUGGCAUGAGGAGGGGAGGCCAGAGGAAGGGCCGGCAGGAGCUGGAGGUCCCGUCUGGAUGCUAAAGAGCGCAGCAGCAGCAGGAGGAGAGAGCCUGGUUUUAAACGGCCACGACAGCAGUCGCCUGGGAAAACUGUGAAGUGCCAGGAACGGGUUCUAAACAGGACGUGAUGGUGGAUUCCUCAUGCUGGCCCAGUGCAGAAGCUGGUUCAAGAGCCUGCUGAGCUGGGCGUCCAGGCAGGCAAGGGGGAGGCCGCUGAAGCCAUUCGGGCACGAGGCAGUUAGGGUUUGGCCCCAGAAAGCAAGACAAUCUCUUCUGUGACAUCGAGCUGGUAGGCUGGGACCCGGAUGUACGGAGUCUUGUUUGAUGAACAUUUCUCUUAAAGUGAGCCCAGGACGGUCCUAAAUGUACUUCACAGCAGCCCAGGGGCACAGGGACAGAGAAGCAGCAGAGGGGGCAGGGCAGAGCAGCCACCCGGGCACAGCUGAGGACAGAGCUGGGACUUGAGCCCAGCAGCGCGGCUCCCACGGUCGUUCAGGCUGAUGUACUUAUCCAGCUCGAUCACUUUGUCCAUCCAGAAGAUGUCGGCCAUUCCGUGAUCUGAGAAGAUGAUGACGUUGAGGUUGUCCUGCAGCGCCCGCUCCUGUGGGCAGACAGAGGAG